UCGGGAAUAUUGCGCAAUGGGCGAAAGCCUGACGCAGCAACGCCGCGUGAGUGAUGAAGGCCUUCGGGUCGUAAAGCUCUGUCGGAGGGAACGAAUGCUCUUGAGGUUAACAGCCUCAGGAAAUGACGGUACCCUCAAAGGAAGCACCGGCUAACUCUGUGCCAGCAGCCGCGGUAAUACGUAGGGUGCAGGCGUUAAUCGGAAUUACUGGGCGUAAAGCGUGCGCAGGCGGUUUGUUAAGACAGAUGUGAAAUCCCCGGGCUUAACCUGGGAACUGCGUUUGUAACUGGCAGACUGGAGUGUGGCAGAGGGGGGUGGAAUUCCAAGUGUAGCAGUGAAAUGCGUAGAUAUUUGGAGGAACACCGAUGGCGAAGGCAGCCCCCUGGGCUAACACUGACGCUCAUGCACGAAAGCGUGGGGAGCAAACAGGAUUAGAUACCCCAGUAGUCCCUGAG
rnacentral:rRNA from 1 species